UGUAUGUAAUUAAAAAAAAUAUCAGGCCGUGACCCUGACAAUAGGAACUAACCCUUAUACACCCACGAGG
rnacentral:tRNA from 1 species